GAUGAACGCUAGCGGCAGGCCUAAUACAUGCAAGUCGGACGGGAUUCAGGAGCUUGCUUCUGAUGAGAGUGGCGCACGGGUGCGUAACACGUAUGUAACCUACCUUUAUCAGGGGGAUAGCCUCUCGAAAGAGAGAUUAAGCCCGCAUAAAAUCACAGCACAGCAUUGUGUAAUGAUCAAAUAUUUAUAGGAUAAAGAUGGGCAUGCGGAACAUUAGCUAGAUGGCGGGGUAACGGCCCACCAUGGCGACGAUGUUUAGGGGAGCUGAGAGGAUGGCCCCCCACACUGGUACUGAGGCCCGGACCAGACUCCUACGGGAGGCAGCAGUAAGUAAUAUUGGUCAAUGGGCGGAAGCCUGAACCAGCCAUGCCGCGUGCAGGAAGACGGCCCUACGAGUUGUAAACUGCUUUUAUACGAGAAUAAACCCAGAUACGUGUAUCUGGCUGAAUGUACUGAAAGAAUAAGGAUCGGCUAACUCCGUG
rnacentral:rRNA from 1 species